UACGUAGGUGGCGAGCGUUGUCCGGAUUUACUGGGCGUAAAGGGAGCGUAGGCGGACUUUUAAGUGAGAUGUGAAAUACCCGGGCUCAACUUGGGUGCUGCAUUUCAAACUGGAAGUCUAGAGUGCAGGAGAGGAGAAUGGAAUUCCUAGUGUAGUGGUGAAAUGCGUAGAGAUUAGGAAGAACACCAGUGGCGAAGGCGAUUCUCUGGACUGUAACUGACACUGAGGCGCGAAAGCGUGGGGAGCAAACAGGAUUAGAUACCCG
rnacentral:rRNA from 1 species